rnacentral:rRNA from 1 species
UGGGGAAUAUUGGACAAUGGGGGCAACCCUGAUCCAGCAAUGCCGCGUGUGUGAAGAAGGCCUUCGGGUUGUAAAGCACUUUCGGUGGGGACAAACAAGGCGGAGCUAACAUCUCCGUCCCUGAUGGUACCCAAAGAAGAAGCACCGGCUAACUCUGUGCCAGCAGCCGCGGUAAUACAGAGGGUGCAAGCGUUAAUCGGAAUUACUGGGCGUAAAGCGUGCGUAGGUGGUUUGUUAAGUCAGGUGUGAAAUCCCGGGGCUCAACCUCGAAAUGGCGCUUGAUACUGGCAGACUCGAGUGUGGUAGAGGAUAGUGGAAUUCCCGGUGUAGCGGUGAAAUGCGUAGAUAUCGGGAGGAACAUCAGUGGCGAAGGCGGCUAUCUGGACCAACACUGACACUGAGGUACGAAAGCGUGGGUAGCAAACAGGAUUAGAUACCCUGGUAGUCCACGCCCUAAACGAUGGGUACUAGACGUCGGGAAGCUUGUCUUCUUGGUGUCGCAGCUAACGCAAUAAGUACCCCGCCUGGGGAGUACGGUCGCAAGAUUA